GUUCAUACAAUGAGGGAGAAAGGGGCGGAGGAUCGAGAUAAACAAAGUAAAGCUUAAAAUGAUAUGGCUACUGCUUAAAUAAGUUAAACAAGCAGCAGCAAAAAGAAGCCCCGAUACCAUAGUAUAUUCAGCAGCACCAUCCAGUCCCAAGGAUUGCUAGACACAAAAUCCAUGCACUACGAUGCUUGUUUCAUAGAAGCAAUGAUUUACCAAAAGUAAUUCAGUGACACCUUUUCUUAUAUACAAGAAAUCCAGCAACAUCAGAUACUAAAAGAACAGUAGAGGGAGCCUGGACUCAUCAUUCCAUGGGUGGACGGCACAAGAUCCAUCAACCAUAUGCUACAUGAAGAUAACUUUAAAAUACCUAUAUUCGGCAACAUCUACUUGCUGUCUGCAAUAUGAAGUUUCAAUGAAAUCGCCCACUUCCUCCAAAUACCCCACAUUGUUCUGCAACCUUGUCGAUCAACAACUGAACCAAUUCUAUGUUGUCAGGCCAAGCUCUGGGCCUCCAGUACUCUGGUAACAAAACGGCACCAAAUUGCCACACCAUGGUGUCACCAAGCUUUGGGGAAUUUGCUCCAGUUCAGAAAUACUGACUAUGUCUACUAUAAUAGCCCGAUGUUUGCAGAAGGAACUUGGCCCUAUGUGAGCGUCAACCACGGUUAAUCAAAAGGGACGAAGCAGUAACUUGAUCAAUAAGACCAAUAUUUUGCAUGACAUGUUCACCCGGAUGACCACAACUGCUGAUAGCCUGAUAUACGGAGGAAACUCAAAGCAGUUGGCUACAAGUUGUACAUAAAUUAUGCUGUUGUAUCAUUUUCUUAUUUACAUCUAGAGCUGCCAGAAGAACUGUUAAAACUGGGUAUGUACAUAAGGAAAUAAGCGAAAGCAAGACUGUGACCAGGCUGAUAAUUCAUGUAUUCUGUAUAUAGAUAAGUCAUCAUAAUUUGGCGCCAAAAAGGGUCGAAACUGCAAAUUACAGAAGCUGCAUCAAUGGGGAGACCAGCCAUCCGGAAGCUAAAAGGGACUUUGAUGUGGGUAACCACCUUCCAGAAUCCCUAAAAAUGCCAACAGCUGGGUGGAUAUAGUAUUUUCCACAGAUUUUAAUAAACCUCAAUUAAGGAGGACUUCUCUAUUAUCUAAGAAUCUUCCGGACUGGAAUCAAUGUGAAGCUGUAGAUUCUUCACUUCUUUAGCAUCAGAGCCUUCUGCAACAGAAGAAUUGUCCUCGCCUUUUGAAUUGAGAGUCCCAGGGUUCAUCCGCUGCACCUCAUCUUUCGUGUAGAUAAAAAUCUUCCGAACCAUACCACAAAAUUCCUGCCAUGGAUCAUCUCCAACAAGCAUCAUGUCACCCUCAUCAUCAGUAUAUACAACCAGCCAGUUCUUGUUACGAGCCUUGAGCUCACCAUUAAAAUCAAAAAUGUGAUCCAGUUCAGCUAUCAAUUCUUCAUAGUUGUUGAACUUUGCAAGAUCAACAGACCUUCCAAGGGCUGUACCCUGUUUAUGAACCUUGGUGCAACUCCUUGUUGAAUGAACAAGGCCUUUGCCCUCUCUAUCUCGAGUACCAGGAUGAGAGGUUUGGAAUUGUUCUUCCUGAUCAUGAACUAUGAAGCCAUCAUCUGGUAGCUUUGAUCCCUUUGAUUGCUCAGACCUUUGAUCAGAUUCAAUUAUAGGGAAUUGAUGUGGAUGUAUACCAAAGUGCAUGUUACUUGUUGAGUGAAUCGGGGAAUUUUUCCGCAACAUGACAGGAUCUAUGGUGGCACAUUUACUUACAAGGGGAAUGCCAAAUAGUUUGCAGUUCCCUUCUUUGGGUUUCAUGGCUUCGGGCUGUGGUGAAGCCAUGGGUUUAGGCAUAAUUUCUCCAGAAUGAGCGGACAUCUGAAUAUAAGGCAGCACGGACGGGGGCAUUAACCAAUUUCCCUGCUGAUUGUCAGGUCUAUGACCAGGGAAGGUUGGAUACUCGUUAAAACAAUUGAGUCGAGAUGUUCCCCGCAUUUGAUACAGAGUAUCUGCACCCUUCAAUCCUGAUUCCAUCAGAUUAAGUGAGAGACCAGAAGACACUAGAGACCAUUGUUUUGCCAGUAAGCUGAAAUCAGUUUCCUUAUCCAGAGCUUGUCGCUUAACCCAGCUAGCAGGUGCUGUUUGGCCCCCAGUGGGUGAAUGGAAUCCAUGAGAUGAACUAGAUUGCCCCCCAAAACCUGAUAAAAGAUCUGUAAAAGAUGAUUCAGGCCUCCCUAAAGGAAGCCGUUUAUCUGAUAUACAUUUCCUUGACGCAGAAUGAACAUCAGCCUUCUCGUCAUCCAGUAAUGGUUGCCAUAUAGGUGGCUUCUCAGAAGAGUCCGACUCGUUAUUUUCUACAAAAUUGCCUCUCAAGGUCGAUAUUUCUUGACCUUGCAAAACUCUUGAAAACCCACUGGCUUGUGAAGUGUCUACAACUACUUUGGAUGAACCUUAAGAAAGUGCCAAAAGUACAAAAGAAACACUCAGCUUGAAAUGUAGAUAUAAACGCAGUUCAGGGUAUGGAAUUCAAAUAUAAGGGCAAGUUAUAACCUUCCCUAGUAAGUACAGAAGAAUCAGGAGACGAGGGCAGAACAUUUGAUCGCGGCCUUUUCUGCCUUGGUAUUGGAAGUGGAUUAAGUGCAGGAGGGCUAAGAGCUGGUUCUAUUUUCCACGGUGAAACUCGGUCUGGCCUUGGAAUGCUUGAAUUUUCAUCCCACCGUACCUUCAGACAUCUCCACUUAGAUUCAAGCCACCUUUGGGGAUCAGCAUCUUCAAUACCAACAAUAGUUCCAGUAAACCUUUGCUCUGGAGCUUCUUCACCUUCGAACCUCAUCUUAAACCUCAUUCCAAUAGAGUAAUUAUUCUUCACAGAUUCCAUAUAGUGGUCAUAUGGAACUAUAAACUCAGCAGGGCUUGUCCUGGGCUUGUAAUACACAGUGAACAUCGUUUUUGUUUGAAUGGCAUGCCAAGCUGUUGCAAGUACACCAAGAUGCAUGCUAUGACUGGAUAUCACCGAUGAUGGAGCAUUUCCUUGCUGUCUCAUGGCACGUCUAACACCAACACGAAGCUCCCCAUUCUCACCUCUAAGAAAUAUGAAUGCAUCCCCAGCAACAAGCCUCUUCGAACCAACAAAGACACUCCAACCACUCUGAAGAAGAUGCCUCCUAGGCUGGCCCCGGAAUAUAUGCCUGAAUCGCCACUCAUUUCCAUGUAAAUCUUUGGCCACCAACUCCUGUGUGGGAGGCUGCCGAGACAUGUCCAGUUGGGGGAGGCAUUCAUCAGCAUGUCGUCUCAAGACAGAAAAUCCACCGUGAGUGCUUGUAUCAGAGGCUGUUAGAGUCUUACAAAAAGAGUGUACAUGAAAUCGUGGUGGAGGAGGGCGCAUAGGUUCCUUCUUCACUGCAUUCUCAUCUUGAUUUGGCUCCGGCAUCAAAGUCACUUGUGCAUACACCUCAUCAGUAUCUGGUUCAGCCUUUAACAGGACAUUCACAACACGGCAUAGAAUCUUAGAUGGAAGAUUAUACAAAGGCAUCUGCUGGUCAGCCACUUGAUUAGUUGAUGCUUCAACCUGCUCGAUAUGUCCUUGAGGGAAAUAGUACACCAGCUCACCCUCUCGCGGUACCGUCACAAGUGGACCGGCACAUGAACGCCAAAGCUCCGUGUACAACGCCGUAUCAGCAUCAACUAUUCCGACACCGGAACUACUCCUACCAGUCUCUGAAACCGGCCUAGAACCAUCACUCGGCUCGCUGUAACCUUGAAUCGACACCUCCGAAGCAGCCAUUUCCGUACACUAAUUCUCAACACAGAUCUCUCAUAUCCACACUAAUCAAUUCAUAAAACAAGCACAAAAUAAAACUUCCUUCUCCAAAAUUCACCAGAAAAAAAGCACUAAACUCUUCCUCAGCUCAAAAGCAUGCAAAACUGGUAACCAAAGAGACCCUAGAAACAGCAAUCAACACUCAAAAUUGAAGUUACAGAGCCUUCUCGCUCUAGUUUCUCUCUCUAAAAACUGUUUGUAUAUGCGUGUUCAUUUAUCUAUCUUCAAUGGAUAGAAGUAGGAGCUUCUUCAUGUGAGUGAUGAGAGAGAAAGAGAGCAAAAAAAAAGAAAAGGACACAA
rnacentral:misc_RNA from 1 species